rnacentral:rRNA from 1 species
GAUGAACGCUGGCGGCGUGCCUAAUACAUGCAAGUCGAGCGAACAGACGAGGAGCUUGCUCCUCUGACGUUAGCGGCGGACGGGUGAGUAACACGUGGAUAACCUACCUAUAAGACUGGGAAACUUCGGGAAACCGGAGCUAAUACCGGAUAACAUGUUGAACCGCAUGGUUCAACAGUGAAAGACGGUCUUGCUGUCACUUAUAGAUGGAUCCGCGCCGCAUUAGCUAGUUGGUAAGGUAACGGCUUACCAAGGCAACGAUGCGUAGCCGACCUGAGAGGGUGAUCGGCCACACUGGAACUGAGACACGGUCCAGACUCCUACGGGAGGCAGCAGUAGGGAAUCUUCCGCAAUGGGCGAAAGCCUGACGGAGCAACGCCGCGUGAGUGAUGAAGGUCUUCGGAUCGUAAAACUCUGUUAUUAGGGAAGAACAAAUGUGUAAGUAACUAUGCACGUCUUGACGGUACCUAAUCAGAAAGCCACGGCUAACUACGUG